UGUCCGAAUAGGUUGGCUCGCCAUCAAAGAAAAUCAAUCUCCCCUCAGGAAAAAAACCUGACCUGUUUAAAAGGUCAGAAAUGCAUGACUGCAUUUAGUCAACAAUAGCAUCACAUCAGGCACGUGUAUAUUACCCCGACAUGCACGUGAA